AAAGCAGGUGAUGGCAAUUUACUACUAAUCAAGGAACUGGCUUUACUGACGAGAUGCGCAUGAUAUCGCAUGCGAUUUAUCGUGCAGCCCUAGAUUUUACAUUAGUGACAACACAGCUUAGAGGAUAAACAUGUACAUUUCUCUGAAUCUGAGUUAAUAGUUACAAAUACAGAGCUUAUAAUGUCUGUCAUUGCUCAACCACAAAGACCUAAAAGUACAGCCAGCUGAUUUCAUAACUAAUGCAGUAUUACACUGUGAAGUGAUUUACUGUUAAUAUUUUACACUACCAUAUAAUUAACUAUAUUUGUAUAGGUGAGGUAACACAAGAAAAACUAACAGGAUGGAGACUACCUGAUUCUUCACCUAUGGCCUCAGCUUCAAAUGCAAGAAGCAAGAAAUGCUAUAUGACUGUGCAUUUUGCAUUAUGAAUACAUUAUGAAUACAUCAAAGAUGUUGAUAACAAGUUGAUCUGCGUAAAUUGUGACAUAAAGAAUAUGUAUAUAUAUUUCCAUCUAUCUUUCUAUAACAUUAUUUCAAUUGUUUUCACAUGUAGGUCCAGCAACUGUCUGAGUUGGUGUAUAUUCUGUCAGAGACUGCGUGAACAAUGUUAUGAACAGAAUGAUGUCUAAUUGUCUUAUGGCAAAGUUCAAUAUAAGCGGUGGUGGACAUCUGGAAAAGAAGGCUUUUAAAGGCACACCUUUGUAUUAUGUUAUUCAAGAUGCUGUGAAGAGGUGGAGCCCAAAUGCCACAGACUCGGAAAUAGAUGCAGCUAUGGCAGACCACCUCAAGCACGCUCCAGGAAGAGCUGGGGGUUGUGAAUACACUAAAUAAGCCAAACAGCUGUAAUGUGUAAAAGAGUUGACCCAAAAAUGAAAAUUGUUAUAAUUUUCUUACCCACAUGUUUCAAACCUGUAUACAUUUCUAUUUUCUGCUGAACACAAAGAUUGAAAAAUGUUUGUAACCAAGCUAACUGUCAAUAAUUUUUUUUUACAACUGUAGUAAUGGGUUGUGAGAUCUGCUUUCUGCUUUCUAUUCUUUCAAAUAUCUUUGUGUUCAGCAGAACAUAGAAAAGUAUACAGGUUUGAAACAUAAGAGAGAGUAAAUUACUAAAUAAUCAUUUUUGGGUGAACUAUCCUUUUAUAUAGUAAAGUAUUUUGAAAUUGUUAUUAUAGUUAAACAGUUUAAAAAAAAUAAAAAGUGCUAAAUCAGAA